rnacentral:rRNA from 1 species
CCGCUGGGAUUCCUUCGGGAUGACCUUGGUGCCGACGAGUGGCGGACGGGUGAGUAACACGUAGGAAUCUGCCAAACGGUGGGGGACAACCCGGAGAAAUCCGGGCUAAUACCGCCUACGCCCUACGGGGGAAAGCGGGGGACCUUCGGGCCUCGCGCUGUUUGAGGAGCCUGCGUCGGAUUAGCUUGUUGGUGAGGUAAAGGCUCACCAAGGCGACGAUCCGUAGCUGGUCUGAGAGGAUGAUCAGCCACACUGGGACUGAGACACCGCCCAUACUCCUACGGGAGGCAGCUGUGGGGAAUAUUGCACAAUGGGCGAAAGCCUGAUGCAGCCAUACCGCGUGGGUGAAGAAGGCCUUAGGGUUGUAAAGCCCUUUCAGCAGGGAAGAAAGGCACGGGGUUAAUAACCCCGUAAUUUGACGGUACCUGAAUAAAAAGCACCGGCUAACUCCGUGCCAGCAGCCGCGGUAAUACGGAGGGUGCAAGCGUUAAUCGGAAUUACUGGGCGUAAAGCGCGCGU